UAAAAAAGGGGACGGAGGGGAUUAAGUCGUAUUCGGAACAAUUGGGUCUGAAACGACUUAAUCCCCUCCGUCCCCUUUUUGU
rnacentral:antisense_RNA from 1 species